rnacentral:lncRNA from 1 species
AGGAAAUAACGCGGAGAUCUGUCUCCUGCCCCUAGACUACGGACCCUGCCGGGCCCUACUUCUCCGUUACUACUACGACAGGUACACGCAGAGCUGCCGCCAGUUCCUGUACGGGGGCUGCGAGGGCAACGCCAACAAUUUCUACACCUGGGAGGCUUGCGACGAUGCUUGCUGGAGGAUAGAAAAAGUUCCCAAAGUUAGCUUUGAAAAAGAAAAAGAAGAUGCCAAAGCUUCGCUUUGCCAGUAGAAUCCGGAAAAUUCGGAAGAAGCAAUUUUAA